rnacentral:rRNA from 1 species
UUGAGGAAGGUGGGAAUCCUUCCGGCCGAAUAUCUAAGGUUUCCAGAGUAAAGCAGAUCUGCUCUGGGUAAGUCGGGGCCUAAGGCGAGGUCGAAAGACGUAGUCGAUGGAUAACAGGUUGAAAUUCCUGUACUAUCCUGUAACAGAACUGUGGGGACACAGGCAGAGAGCGUGAGCCGGGAAUGGAAAGACCGGUACAAGCGAGGUAGGAGAAGAGUUGGCAAAUCCGCUCUUUAAUCUGAAGACGUGAUGUGGACUGAAAAUAAGUAGGGAAGCACGUGAGCUGACUGUCAAGAAAAGCCGCUAUUGUUUGCAGGAUACCCGUACCGUAAACCGACACAGGUGGAUGAGGAGAGAAUCCUAAGGCCGACGGGAGAAGCAUUGUUAAGGAACUCGGCAAAAUGACUCCGUAACUUCGGGAGAAGGAGUGCCAGUAAGAUGGCCGCAGAGAAUUGGCCCAAGCAACUGUUUAGCAAAAACACAGGUCUAUGCAAAACCGAAAGGUGAGGUAUAUGGGCUGACGCCUGCCCGGUGCUGGAAGGUUAAGGGGAGAGGUUAGCGCAAGCGAAGCUUUGAACUUAAGCCCCAGUAAACGGCGGCCGUAACGAUAACGGUCCUAAGGUAGCGAAAUUCCUUGUCGGGUAAGUUCCGACCCGCACGAAAGGCGUAAUGAUUUGGGCACUGUCUCAACAAUGCACCCGGUGAAAUUGAAAUACCAGUGAAGAUGCUGGUUACCUGCGCCAGGACGGAAAGACCCCAUGAGCUUUACUCCAGCUUGAUACUGGGAUUCGGUAUUGCAUGUACAGGAUAGGUGGGAGGCUAGGAAAUGGUAACGCCAGUUGCCAUGGAGCCAAUGUUGGGAUACCACCCUUGCAGUACUGGGUUUCUAACCAGCAGCCGUGAUCCGGCUGGGGGACAAUGUCAGGUGGGGAGUUUGACUGGGGCGGUCGCCUCCGAAAGGGUAUCGGAGGCGCUCAAAGGUUCCCUCAGAAUGGUUGGAAACCAUUCGAAGAGUGCAAAGGCAGAAGGGAGCUUGACUGCGACACCGACGGGUGGAGCAGGUACGAAAGUAGGACUUAGUGAUCCGGUGGUAUAAAGUGGGAUUGCCAUCGCUCAACGGAUAAAAGCUACCCUGGGAUAACAGGCUUAUCACUCCCAAGAGUUCACAUCGACGGAGUGGUUUGGCACCUCGAUGUCGGCUCAUCGCAUCCUGGGGCUGAAGUAGGUCCCAAGGGUUGGGCUGUUCGCCCAUUAAAGCGGUACGCGAGCUGGGUUCAGAACGUCGUGAGACAGUUCGGUCCCUAUCCGGCGUGGGCGUAAGAUAUUUGAGAGGAGCUGUCCUUAGUACGAGAGGACCGGGAUGGACUGGCCGCUGGUGUAUCUGUUGUCUUACCAAAGGCAUAGCAGAGUAGCCAAGCCGGGAAGGGAUAAACGCUGAAGGCAUCUAAGCGUGAAGCCCCCCUCAAGAUGAGAUAUCUCAUAACGUCAAGUUAGUAAGACCCCUUGAAGACGACGAGGUAGAUAGGGCAGAGGUGGAAGUGUGGUAACACAUGGAGCUGACUGUUACUAAUAGGUCGAGGGCAUAACCG